rnacentral:tRNA from 1 species
GCCUUCGUGGUGUAGUGGUCAACACACUCGGCGCGCGUUCGAGAGUUCCAUGGUUCGAGUCCCGGCUAGGGCA